CACCUACCGAGCUAACUUACUCUUUAUAACGGCUUCCGGGGUUCCGUGACUUGCGAACCUGAUCCCUGGGGAUGAACGCUUUGGCUGUGUUCGGUCUUUUGCUACAACCACAAUUCUCAUGAGUAUGCAUCCUUGCCGUGGGCUCUGGGAGCAGCACAUGACUUGUUUUGACCAAUGGAAUGUUAGCAAGUGCAGUAGCCCAGAUGGUGAAGAAUUGAACUUGUGCUCCUGUGCUUCUGCCAUCACCUUGGAAAGAACCUGCCAAGCUAGCCUGUGGUCCCAUGAGAUGGACGAGAGACGCAUGGAGCAGAGCUGGCCCGACUGGGUCCAGCCUAUAUCAGUUAACCCAGAGAGGCAUGAGCUAAACAAAUGCUAUUUCCGUAUGAGAUCCUGUGAUUGUUUCUUAGGCACUCCUACUGAAGCAAUAAUUAAUGACAUGGAAGCUGAUACCACUGGCAUAGAAAUGGGAUUCUGCAAUAACAGAAAGCUAAAAUAUAUGGCAUUGAGCUUUGAAACCGGACAGUAGGUGAAGGCUAGAAAAAUGGCAACUUGUGUUACAUAGUGGUGAGAUAUUUGGUAAAACUACAUCCAGCAGUAACUUGGAAGAUAGAAAAUAUAUGUAAUGAACUUGUGAACUUGGGCAGGAUGUUGAAAACAUGAGCUGACUUCUUUUACUGUAUGUGAGAUAAGAUACUAUAAAAAAAGAGACAAUCUUAGAAAAGAACUGAUCAAUUUGCACUCAGAAUUUAGAGAGAAUAAUAAAAUAAUUUCUUAUCUCUAGUCUCUCCCCCCCAUGUAAAUUCUCAAAUUAAAAUAUAGCCUAGACCAAACUAAAUUACAGCAUAGACCAAAUAUAGGAAGCUGCCAAUAUAGCAUGGGGGGCUCAGGAUAAAGACCACAACAAGAGUGUAACAGCCUCUGUUAGGACCUCUAGAAGAAUUAAGGUAGUGCUAGUAGAGCCCCUGACCUGGAUAAAAGAGAUCCUAGGGAUUUUAAACACAUAGUCCCUAGGGAAACCAGGGAAAUGCAUCUCUCACGUCUCCCACUGUAGGAGCAUAAUUGAAAAGCCCAGCUACCGCACUCUGAACUCCAUCCCCACUCUCACUCCGAGGCCACACUUGCCAGGGGCUGUUCCCAGCCAGUGAUGGAGCAUGGUGGGGAUUCCAAGCAGACCUGCACCUAGAAGACAUGGGACACCUCUGACAAGCUACUUUAGCUUGAACACUCCCCUGAAGCUUUGCUGGACUCUCUUAGAGCUUUACUGUGGACUGAGAUGCUGCCACCCAACCUUCCUUCCCCUCCUCUCACCUUCAACAGGCGACAGACCUAUAUUACAGGCUGACAGCCCUCCCAGCAUCCCUCAUGUCCCUCCCCAUUUUUUCUCAUACUAUCUUGGCAUCUGGUUCUCAAAGGACACUGCUAACACAAGUGGCCCCAGAAGUGGCCCGAGAAGAAAAAGAUGAGGAUUUGGGACUGGAUCCCACCCCGACUUUUGUUGGUAGAUGCUCAGAUUGCUAAAGAUUCAUCAGUAGUAUCCUGGGGAAUGUCCCAGUGGAGAAGAAUGCAGUGGCAUCUUAAAAAUAUGGGAAGAACGCUGCCUAUAAACACUGUAGUUUUGGCUAAUUACUGCUAAGUUAUACAGAUGCCCUGCAAAGGGACAGAGACUGAGGGCCACUAACAAUUAAUGGUGAAGUGUGAGAACUAGAGGGUCUCUGAAGAUACUCCCAACGAGGUCCUUAUCUCCUGCAGUGGAAGAACAAACACAGCUAAGUGGCAGGCUCAAUGUCUAACUGUUAGUCACAGAGCUCCACAAACAUUUAAAUACUCAGCCAAUGCAGAUUUCUUAUGCAAAAGAGAGAGCCUUGGAGGGCAAAACCUGGGACCCUGAAAUGUGAUACAGGGACUUCUGGACAGAAGAUGUUGACCCUGCAGACUUCCCAUCCUUCCAGAGCCUCUGGGCUUGCAGACAUGGCCUACCCUUCCCUACUAAGAGCUAGCACUUCGGUGAUGGACAAUGCUGCAAGGCCCUCUCCCUCACAAGGCAAUAUGUGCCCCCUUAGAAGCUGACCCCAUGCCCUCUCCUGGUUGCUAGGCCAAUAACCUGAGUUAAAUUUCAUAAGAACCCAACUGGAGACAUGCUGUGCCUGACAGGAGAGGAAAGAGACUAUACACUGAAGGAAUUACAAGAAUCAGACUGCAUGUCCCAGCAGAAGCCAGGGGAGUACUCCCGGGAUUGAGUUUGAAGGCGCUUGAUCAAAGCAGCCAGAAGGUGAGACUGGGUAUGAAAACAUUAACGGACUUCAGGGUACUUUCUCUGAUUAAUGGAUUUAACACCCUAGGAAGGACCCCAGUGCAAACAGCUGCUGGGAUGGCUCUUAAAACUCUGGAAAAGCAAUGGCCACCCAGCGAACUGGAAAUGCUCUAAUUGCCCUGGCGGACAGUAGAGGAAGGCCUGAAGAGGCCAAGGGAAGUGGGCGUGCUGGAGUGGACAUAGUGUGUGAGGCCAGAAGACCCACGAGGGCACAAUGUUCCAUAGGGGGGUCCCAAAGACCACUCUUCAACUAGGCCACCAAUCACCAAGAAGAUUGGUGGGGGCCAGAUUUAGCAAAUAAACUAUAGGAUCCCCAGUUGCAUUUAAUGAUAGAAAAGCCAGGGUUACUAAUAUCCAUGGAAAUGACAGCGCUCCAAAGACUUAGAGGCAACAGGGUGCCACCUACUAUCUAUAAUCCAAAAAAGGCACAAGUAGAAGAACAGGAGGCUGACGGCAGACUGUCACCUCAAACAGAAAACACCAUCUCUUGUCCAAUUCCCAGACCUGGCUGGAACCACUGACUGGACAGAUGACUGGAUUUCUAGGAGGGAAGACCCUGCCAUGCCGUGGCAGAUAUAUACUGAGUGAUUUCCCAAAGGCUUCUACCGCCAUUUAUUCAGGUGACCGCAUGUCAUGCAAAGGGAAAUAACCAGAAUUUUCCAGGACCACUGAACAUAGGGUCUAAGUUGACACUUAAAUCCAGAGACCCAAGGCAUCAUAAUGACUCCCCUGUUAGGACUAAGGCCUCUGGAGCCAGGUAACAACUGUAAUCCUGGCUAAUACAGCCCACACAGGGCCCACGGGGUCCACAGACAUAACUCACACAAUCCCCAAGGGUAUAGUUGGAAAUAAUAUGCUCAGCAGUUGGAGUAACCCCCUCACUGGAGCCCUGGCUUAUAGAAUAGGAGCUAUGACAAUAGGAAAGGCUAAUUGGAAACCUCUGAACUGUUACCCCCUAACGCCUAGCUCAGUAUAGUUUCCCUGGGGGGGAUGGCAGGAUGAAUGUCACCAUUAAUGACCUACAAGAUGCUGGGACUAUAGUCCCUUCACUAUAAUAUCUCCAUUUAAAAUCUCUCUAAAUUCCCUAGUCUGGCCACUGCAGAAACCAACAAACCCUGGAGAGAGGCUGUAUGCCACCACAGGCCUAAUGCAGAGGAGCUGCGAUUGCAGCUGCUGUGUCCAGAGAGACCUUAUUGCAGAGCAGAUUAAUACGGUCUCAGGGUGUGUAAUCACUGCUUUUGUAAAUGCAUUCUUUUCCACUCCAUUCUUUUCCAUUUCCAUCUCCAAAAAGAUAACCAGAAACAGUUUGCAUUUGUGUGGGCAGAAAACAGUAUUCUUUCACAGAUUUGCCACAAGGCUGUGCUGACUCUCCGAUCCUCUGUCACGACAUUAUCUGAAGAGAUCUGACUGCCCAGCCAGCCCCCAGACUCUCACACUGACCCAUUAUGUCAGAACAUCACGCUGAUUGGGAGGGACAGGCAAGAGACUUUGGGAGGACACAGGCUCCAGAGGGGGGUUAUAACACCUGUGAAGAUUCAAGGAUCAGCCACUUGAAUUACGUUCUUAGAGGUCUAAUGGUUGGGAGGCGCCCCAGGAUAUCCUUCCAAAGUGAAAGAAAGGCCAGCCCCUGCACCUUUCAUCUCUACCACUAGGAAGGAAGCACCGUGCCUGGCAGGCUUCUUCAGCUUCUGGACACAACACACUCCACAUCUAGAAAUAUUGCCCUUCUCCUUAUACAGCCAGUAAGAACAUAUUUUUUGAUAAAUGGUUCAUGAUGGGAAAAUUCCUAUUUUUAGCACAUCCUUGAAAAAAUAGCUAUAUACUGACUUUUUAAAAAGCUAACAAUGUAAAAGAGUGUUUAUUUCCCUAUAUCUUCACUAACCCAACUCUUUUUUUGCUGGUUUAAUUGAUAAUACUUCAUUUUUUAAUUUCAUAUUUUUUAUUACUGUGAGGUUAAAGACAUCCAAAUGUAUACAAGCUUUGUGUAUUCCUUCUUUUGUGAACUGACUGUUUAUGAUUUUUUCCCAUUUCAACUGCAACAUUCAUUGUUCUUAUUGAUCUGCAAAAAUUUCUCUAUGUUCAAGAUAGCCCUACUUUAUAUGUAUAUUGUAAACUUUCCCCAGUUUUGUUAUUUGUUUUUUCAUUUUGUUUCUAGUGUUCCUCUUGUCUUUUAAGUAAACCCAAAUGUACGAGUGCCAACAGUAUGCUUACGUGCCACAGGAGCUGUGAAGGAAGCAAAGCACAUAGUCUUUGCCACAGAGGCACUUAGGAUGUAGUGGGGUGCCCGUCAUAAAUACGUGAGUCACCAAGCGAGAGAGCCUCUAAGCCGUCAUGGAUCAUAUUUACAUAAAAGUAGAAUUUCAUGAUCAAACAUAUUUAGGAAACAUUGGGAUAAAAAAAGCUUAAACUGUUUCUUUACCAUAGCACAGCUCAGAACCUUUAGUGUGCUGAAGUGUUUUGUGGCUUUUCAAGGUGUAGGGGGUGUAAUGACAGUAUGUGUCGUUGAGGUUGGUACAGACUUCGUGAAGGAGGUAAAUGUUGAACUGGGCUGUAGAGGCCUUGGCUUGAUUAAAAAAGGACAAUAUUACAGGGACGGGGCCAAGGGGAAGGUAGAACAAGCCAGGACUAAGGCAGAUACAUGGAUCCUCAGAAAACUAAUUAGAACAGGACAUAAGAGAAAGGACAGGGCUAUCUCAUUCACCUUAUUCUCACUGCUGUCUUUCCUUAUGCUUUCUGCCCAAUUUCUCUACAGGAAAAGUGAUCCGGGCCUAUUUCUCUGGCCCAUGUGGUCUGUAUCCUGGAAUCUGUCAGCCCUUAAACCCUGUGCCAUGGGGAGGUGCCCAAACACUCAGGGGCCCCUGGGGGAGAAGGCCUGCCCCCUGACGGUUCUGGGAAAGACGUCCUUGACAGAUGUAGCUCUGCACUCCCUCCCUUCCCUUCCAUGCAGGUUCAGCCAUUGAGCUCUCUGGCACCGAUGCCUCUUAAAUAUUUGCAGAAUGCUCUCCCACGCCCUUCAGUUGGUGCUGAGGUCAAGCCUGCAAGUUCUGCUCAUUUAGGUUUUACUCAUAAAUCAUUCUCUCCCUUCCCCUUCAAUGCUUCAGUGGCUCUUCCUGGAUCACCGCCUCCUUCUAGUCUCCAGGGAAGGACCUGUUCCCACCACUGGCCUCUGAGAAACCCAGGCUGCAAAACCAUCCCUUAGAGCUCUAAUACCACUUCUCUACCUCCAAACCAGAGCAGCAGAGUGAGCUCACCACAUGCCGUGACAUCACCCUCUUGGCUCCAGAGAUGUCCAACCCUGGAUAGAGGGAGGGGGAAUGGGCCCUAUCUUUAGGCAUGGGGUGGGAAGUCAGGACACCUGGGUUGCAUUCCUGGCUCAGCUUGAAGUUUGCACAAGUCACUGACUCUUUCCUGCUGGGACAUGACUUCCCUAACCACACACUGCCCAGCCCUUUGGCUUCCUAUAAUAAAGUCUAAAUGGGCAUCCAUCCAUGGUGUUCAGACACAAGGCUGCAUGAGCAGGAGCUGACCUCCAGGACGAACUUGAGCAUGGCAGUCUCUACCACGUGGUCAUCUCUUUUCUGAUGAUCGCAUUUCUUUAAGAUUCAUUUGCCCUGCUCCCAGAAUCCUGCGUAGGACACAACCAUAAGAUAAUAUGAAUUAAAUAACUCUGCACUGAUCUCACACAGAACUAAUCCUAGUCCAUACCUAUUCUUUGCCAAAAACUUGCUAAACUGUCCUGCUAAAACAAUGUAAAGCAACCCAAGUGCCUAUCAACAGACAAAUGGAUAAGGAAGAUGUGGUUUAUAUAUAUAAUGAAAUACUAUUCAGCCAUAAAAAAAAGACAACAUCGUGCCAUUUGUGACAACAUGGACAGACCUGGAUGGUAUUAUGCUAAGCAAAGUAAGUCAGACAUAGAAAGACAAAUACUGUAUGAUUGCACUCUUACAUGGAAGAAAAUAAACAAACACAGAGAUAAAGAGAACAGAUUGGUGAUUACCAGAGGGGAAGGGGGUGGAGGAGGGUGAGGGGAAAAGGGGCACGUAUGUAUGGUGACACACAAAAACUAGACUAUUGGUGGUGAACACAAUGCAGUCUAUACAGAAGCUGGAAUAUAAUAAUGUACACCUGAAACUUACACAAUGUUAUAAACCAAUGUGACCUCAAUAAAACAAUAUAAAGAAAGAAAGAAAAAAAAAUGCAAAGUAGCUAUCAUACCUAUGUUACAGACGAAGAACCAAGUCCAAAGAAAUUCAGUAAUUUACCCAAAGUCACGCAUUAGAAAGUAGCAGAACAAACGUCCAGAGACUUUUCUGCAACCCCAAACCACUGUGACCUCAGCAGGCAUGAGAGGCAAGCAGAGAACACUGACAAUAGUUACACAUUCUGAAACGUGAAUGGGAAGCUGUUUGAGUUGCAGCUUUGCCCACGUUUCCCUAACCCACCUUGUGCACCUCCUUCCACCCUAUUUUCACUUGAUAUGUUUAGGAGACAGAAACAAAAAUAAGGUAAGCCAUUUUGAAGUCUCCUAUUUGCCUAGAACCAUUAUGCUUGGCCUAGAGGCUUGAGAGAAUAUUCUCAAUACGGCCACGACCAAUCUAUUGGUUGGUCUGUGUCUUUUGACCCAUUUGCCAGAUUUGUUCCAGUCCAGUUGGUAAGACUAAACCUUUGGGAUAAAAACAGUCACAAUGGCCGAGAGGAGAAGGACAAACCAUAAUUAUUAAAAGUACCCAAAGAUCAGGGUGGGGUAGAAAUUGCCAAGAGAUGAAAUGAACGGAAGCAAAGCACAGACUCUGCUCUUCAGUGGCCUCAGUCUUCUGAAGCUGUGGUCUCUGGGCUAUAAGGAGCCUCUGACAUAAGGAGCCCUCAGCACCUGCCCCCAUUCUGAUGGUUGACACAAGGGCCCUUCCACUCUCCUCGGGGGCAGCAGCCUGAGUCUAGAGCCACCCCAGCCUGGCCCCAGGGCCAAGACCGUUCAUCACCCCUGCAGGCCCCUGUGAAUGCACAAGAGUUCCUUUGUUGCCAUCACACUAGGAUCUUUUAUUCUCCCCAAGACCCAGGAGCUUCUGUGUGCACUGGGCCCGCCUCCUCCCUUCCCAAGAUACUUUGAUCCUCCACCCAUUUGAAAUCUUGGUAGCUUUUCAACACCCUCCCAGACAAUCAGGUUCUUUUCUUUUCAAUAACCAAGCUGUUCUCCUUAUUUCGCCUCAGUUCUUAACAAAAAGUCUGACCAAGAAGAGUUCAAGGGGCAGAUGCCAGGAAAACAGCAGAAGCAGCACAUUCAGUUGGUUUCUGUCUGGGGUAAAUAUGAAACACCUUCCACAGGCUCAAAAACAUUUGCUGAAAGAAAGAAUGAAUAAGGGAGUGAAGUGCUAAGAGGAAGCAACAGCAAAAGCCAAGAGGAAAGUAUAAGGUGGUUUCUCCCAUGGACCGCUGGUCAACUCUGAACUUCCAGAGCAGUCUGACUCCUUCUUCUCCCCUUCCCUGACUCCCAUCGCCUAUGGUUUAAGUCUCACAUUCAUCCUUUCCUCUUCAUUUUCUCUCCUACCACCUCAGUUCAUAUUAUCUCAUGGAUGGUCUAGGUCUGGGGCCCCUUUAACUGUCUCUAUCUCUGCUUUUUCCUUUCAAUCCCUUCCAUCCAUCCUGCAUAUGACCACCAGCUCAAUCUUUAUAUAGCACCACUCCGACCAUGUGUCACUUCCCAGUUUAAAAACGGUCAAAGAUUUCCAGUUCUUAAUGUACAAACAUCUUGUAUCCCAUGCAAGGUCCUCUGUGGUCUGUCUCUGUUAUCAUUCCCUAGGGACUGCAAGAUAGAGUAAAAAAUGUACUGGAUAGGAGGUCAUGGGCCGAGAUUCUAAUCCCCAGUCUGCUCUCCGUAACGCUGUAACUUUAACCAAGCCACUCUAACUUUCUGGACCUAACAUUCUCAACUGUAAAAUGAGGAGAUUGAGCCUGAAGACCUCUAAAAUAUCUCCCGAUUCUAACAUUCUGUGAUCCUGAGCCUGAAGACCUCUAAAAUAUCUCCCGAUUCUAACAUUCUGUGAUCCCAGGAAACUUACCACUUCUGCCAAAUUGUUGCUGACUCACAAAUCUUCCUCUUCCUGUGCCAACUUUGCUCUUUUGCACACGCCUUUAUUUCACCUGGAAUGGUCUUCCUCUCCUGCCAUCCAAAUCACGCCUCCUUCCUGGCCCUCCUGAAGUCCCACCUUCUCUCACAGCUUCCCUGGCCCGGCAAGAAUGAGAUGAUCUCUCCUUCGUCUGCCUCAAUUCCCAUCACAUGGAUGGUGCCUCGCAUACGUGCCUCAAAUACGAUUAUCACUCCAUGUGUACAGCCUGUUUGUCUAACUACACAGUAAGCUCCACGUUGUAAAUCGGGGUGUCUUUUACCCUUCAUACCCUCAUACCCAGCAGGUAACCCACAAAUAGGUGGGGAUGCUAUCCGGUGACAAGAGCAAUGGACCAGCAAUCAGGAAAUCUGGGCUCUAGUCUCCAAUGAUCUUAAACACUCCACUUGUGUGGAUAUUAGUUUUUCUCAUCUGUAAGAUGAAUGCUUUGGAUCAGGAUACUCGCUCGUUUCUGAGGUUCCUCCCAGAGCUGACUCACUAUGAUUUUCUGAUAAAGAACAUCCAGUCCUUCCUGGAGUCUCACUCGUCUUUAGAUCUUUUCAAAUCUUCUGUCUGGCUCUUGCACUGACAAAUAGAAGUGGGAGCUUUCAAAUAAGUUACCUUAGUCUCUCACCUAGCCUGGGCCACUUCUGGAAUAAAUUGGAAUUCAACUGUAAUGAAUGGCCAUAACGUGGAUUCCAGAUUCCCUCACUUGGCUGAACUAUUCCUCAGAAGUGGACUCUGUUUACCCAGGAAAGACUGGCUAUUUGGUAUUUUCUCACUGUAUUCCUUCCCCUUAAAGCAGCUUGCAGCCACCCAUAAAUUUAAUGCCAGCAUCCCAAUGACAAGAAUCUAAUAAAGUCCCAGAAUAUUCCCCUUUACAGAUGGGCUCUUACAACAGAAACCAGCAUUCACUUCCUGCCGGUAUUUCUAGAAACUUAUCCUUUCUAUAGUUGUUGCUUUUAAUUAGAGCUAGGAAGAUGCUGUGAGCUUUAAAAACCAAAGGUUACAUCUUUAUCCAGAAAAGAGAAGAAAACUAGACCAUCACAAUGAUAAAUUUCACCUGCUGGUGAGACUGUCACAACAAUCUAAUUACCAAAGAAUUAGUUAACUCAUUCUCACUCCCUGACCUGGUACCACAUAUUCACAUGUGCACCACACCUUACCACAUCCCCUUAGCAGCUUCCUCAUUAUAUCAUUUUAAGCAGAUUCCGCAUUCUGACAAGAUUUUAUAGACAUUAGUAAAAUGUGCUGUGGGGGGAAAGGGAAUGGAAUAUAGGAGGAAUUUUUAUGCUGAAUGGCUAGUUCUGUGCUGAGUCAUCUGCCUUCUUUCCCUCCCGAGGCAAUAACAACAGUGACCAUUUAUUGACUGCUUAGGCGGCGCCAGGCACUGGGCUAAGGGCUUCAAUGCACACAGCGCAUUGUUAUCAUCCACUACUAGAGAUGGGAACUGAGGUUCAGAGAGAGCUAAGAUCCUAUCUCACAGAGUAAGUAGCAGGGCCAGGAGUCAAAAUCAGGUCUCUGGCUGUGGCUCCAAACCCAUGGACGUAACCACUUUGAACCAUAUCCAUACUCAUAUCUCUUUGGCCUCACAGAGUGUCCCAGUCCAUUUCACUUGCUUGGAUUAGUACAGAUGGCUAGGAUCAGCCUAAGCUUGUCUUAAGCAGUUUUUCAGCUAUUCCUGGGAACUUAGCAAGAAACUUUAGCCAAGGUUCCUCAAGGCCACUGAGGAAUAUGAAGUUUGAUUCUUUUCUUGAUUUGGCGGAAGGAUCAUUUCCCAUCGCUAAUAACUACAAAUUCCCUCUUCUCUGCCUGGUUCCCAUAGUUAAAAGGAAAGAGAGUGCUGGUUAUCUAGGGUGGGAUGAGAAACUGGGCCCAAGCCAGCAGGUUCAAAUACCUUCUGUCUGUUCAGCAUCCUGUGAAGCGAUAGGGAAGGCGUGGCUGGGAGGAGGGAGCUGAAUCAUCUCACCAAAUGUUCUUUUGUGCAGGGUGAAUGUGGCUGUUAAUGCUGAACAGCCUUCCUCUUCCAGAAAACAAUGGAGCUCCACUGAAUCACUGACUCCCUUUCAGGCAUCUCCUUUUGGCUGUCUGACCCAGUCUCAUAAUUGAGACUCAAGCUGUUGUCCCUGGCCCAACAAUUGGCAGCCAUGCCAAUCCAGAGAAUGGAUCUGGUCCCACAGCCUGUGGCUAUCUGUGGUGCUCUGAACUAACCCUUUGAUGAAAAACCAGAAAAUUAGAAGGAUUUCAGGAAGAAUCUCCUGAUAGGAAAAGGAUAGUUCCACCUUUUAGAUGCCCCCAGGAUCCCCCAUUAAUCCCCACCUGACCAGGGUGGUCCCAAAUGGAGAUUUAAGGGUGAAGCAGAAGUCUUCAUUUAGGCCUCCCACGACAUGCGUUCUAAGGACCUUUGAUCAGAGUUCUGUUUGAUGCGAGUUAUCAGUGCCGACAGCCCAGUGAUGCUUAUAUUCCUAGCCAACUAUUGCUCCUUGCGUGUGUAGUGCCUUAAGAAUCUUAGACAGCUUGCUGGGAAUGUGACGAGUGAGGCAGGAUUUGGGCAUUUCUGGGUUUCUGGGUACCUCCCUUGCCACUGUACUAUCAACAUGCCUAUCACAACCUUACCUAGCAAUCAGAACAAUUAUGCAGAAAAAUGUGGUUUUUAAUGCCUAAGCCAAAAUCAGUUCAGAAAAGUGAAGACGUUUCAGGAAUACCUUAAUCAGUUUAUUUCACUCAUAUUUUCCUUUUUUAUGUAAAUAUAGGAGCGAUCCACAAUUUGUUUUAAAAACCUAUGUCUAAAUAAGUCUAGAGGGCCGGGCCAGUGGCAUAGUGGUUAAGUUUGCAUGCUACACCUUGGUGGCCUGGGGUUCACAGGUUCAGAUCCCAGGCAUGGACCUACACUUUGCUCAUCAAGCCAUGCUGUGGUGGCAUCCCACAUACAAAACAGAGAAAGAUUUCCACAGAUGUUAGCUCAGCAACAGUCUUCCUCAAGCAAAAAGACGAAGAUCGGCAAUAGCUGUUAGCUCAGGGCCAAUCUUUCUCACCAAAAAAAGAAAAUACCAGGGGGCCAGCCCAGUGGCGUAGUGGUUAAGUUUGCACACUUUGCUUUGGCAGCCUGGGGUUCGCUGGUUUGGAUCCCAGGCACAGACCUAUGCAGUGCUUAUCAACCCACGCUGUGGCAGGUGUCCCACAUAUAAUGUAGAGGAAGAUGGGCACAAACGUUAGCCCAGGGCCAGUCUUCCUCAGCAAAAAGAGGAAGAUUGGCAGCAGAUGUUAGCUCAGGGCUGAUCUUCCUCAAAAAUAAAUAAAUAAAUAAGUCUAAAGGAGUAUUUUUAAUGCACUAAAAUGAAAAUUCUAAGUAAUGGUCGGGGGGCAUACCUUAAUUCAUAGUUCAGCCCAAAUCACACAGCUGGUCAAUGAUAAAGCCAAGACAAGAAUCAAGGACUCUUGUCCCCAGUCCCAAGAUCUUUUUGUUGUGUCUCCAGGCUACUGUGGGCUGACACUGGGUUUCCACAUCAGGUGUCCCCCAAAGGCAGCCGUCUGCUCAGAGCUCUGCUGGAGGCCUGCCCACCCAGCUGGGCCCUACCCUCAGCACAGGCGACAAUGAAUUUCUAUGAAUGCAUCCUGCUUCCAGGGUCAAGUACUUUCAUUCUUUCUUCUUGGGCAGCCACUUACGGGGACUGAAAAGAAGUCACCAGCUGGCCUACACACUGCAGAAGAACCUGGCUCAGGCGUUAGAGCCUGUGGCCCCCAGUUCCCACUCGUCCCAAGGAAGGUGUGUGUCAGGAGCCACACCAGGGCUCGCAGAGGGAGCAGUUCUCACCUGGGCGAACAGAAAAGACAGUGCUCACGUCUAGAACUAGAAAAGAUACUGCUCCCAGAGAGGAAAGAAGACCCAAAGGCCUCUGGGAUGGGCCUGAAGGAGUGUUAGGACUUCAGCGGGGGUCGGGGCUGACCUACGCAAUGCCUUCAGGACCCCAGUAUACUGUCCCAAGGCCCGGCUGACACCGCUCUCUUCGGACUUGUGCUCCAUGUGCUGCUAUCAUGAAAAUCUUUGGAAAUCUCAACCAGGUUGUUUUGGUGGCUUAAGGGCUAUAGGAGAAGGGGACCAGAUAUUGCUUUUGAGCUUUGUGGUUGUCUGAAAAGACCAGGCUUGUGCUAGAAAGUUUUGGUUGUCAGAGUGAAGAAGUAAGGAGACUGGCCCAUCGUUCAGAGAACCUGGUAAGAAAAUCUUCAAAGCCAUGAGAACCAGCAUAGAGGAAGGGUCAUGAAUUGUACAAACAAUCCUAAAGGCUAGUCCUAGCUCCACCAUUUAUUUGCCAUGUGCCCUUGAGAAACUAAAAAAGCCAUGAACAUUAGCUUCCUCAUUUGAAUAUGGGGAUAAAAAUAAAUACUUUGAAGGGGUGUUGGAGAACAAAAUGAAAUAGUGUACAUAAAGUACUUGGCUCCUAGCAGGUGCUCCCAAAAUAUUUGUUCUUUCUUCUAAACCUUGAAGAUUCCAUCAGCAUUACGUUUUAAAACAUCUUUUUAAACAAUAGAACCCUUUGUAAAAUUGUCAGGUGUUUUGCCUUAGAAGCUGUGAGAUUUGUAGGAUGUAAUCGGAUAUUAUUUUAAUAACUAUGAGUUGUGUGGUCCUACUGGUCAGGAAGAAUAUGGAAAGGAGAUAUAAUUCCAUUAAUGUCAACGGCCAUUGGAGCUGAAUGGAAAAGAAAUUAAUAUAUCCUAGACAAAGCAAAGCAAAAUCAAGCCAAGUCAUGUAGCAGCCUGAGUUGGUUGUAGGCUUCCAUGACUAGCCUGGGAUGGGGCUUAGUGGAAUAAAAUGAAUGUAAGCAGGGGUGAUACCCUAAAUUCUUAACACCCUGUACAGUGCAGGUCCCAACAAACAGGGCAGAUACCAGUGGCAAGAAGCCGCUGUGCAGCCACACCAGUUUGUACAAUCCUGUGUACAAGGCCAACUGCUCGGACAUCAUGAAGCUCCCGGUGUGGACCACAAACAGGGCUGGCAAGAAUCCAGGCUGACUGCUCUGAAUUCUCCCAAAAUUGCUUGGGAUGGCAUUAUUAUUUCCUCAGUCAGUAAGUAUCUUUUAACUCUGAGAAGAUUUAGAAUGAAGAAGAGAAAUAUUUAAGAGGACCAAACUUAUAAUAUUAAUAUUUAUGCAUUAAGAAGAAAUCUGUGCCGAUUUAGUAGUAUAAGUAUUCGUAAUAAUCAAGAGAAUUUGCCAUAUUAUAAAAUAUACCUGCAUUGAAAAUUCUUAUUUGAAAUGUGUAGUUAAUUGACUCAGACUUGUAUAUUUAAGUUUAAUCUUUCAUAGUUUAUACACAGUUUUGGAACAGUUAAGAGUACUUAAGGAUCACCGUAUAUAUGUUUAUUUUAUUAAAUUUAUAAGAGUUAUUCAAGAAGUUGAGAAGGCUUAUUUUGUUAAGAUAUUGAAGGACUUCAAAAUGAUAAUAAAAUAUUCAAUUUAUGAAUGCAGUUUAAAAAGCUUAGACACAUUUAAGUCUGUAAAUGGGUUCAAUUAUUAAUCAAAGGCCUCCUUAAAAGUGAUUGACAACAUUUGCUAAACUUAUAAAUAGAAUAAGAUUUGUAAAUUGAACUUUAAGGUAAAACUCAGUUUUUGAAUAUAUAACUUUAAUAAAUUGUGUUAAUUUUUAAAAACCAAAGAAACUUCUGAAUAAUAUUUUCUGUAUAUGAAAUCUGUUCCUGAGGGCAAAAAGGAACUCCCCUUUGGGGAGAAAAAAAAUUAAAUCUUAAGAAGAAAUCGCAAUAAAUAAAGCAGAACUCUAAUUGAAGAGGGAUAGGGCCUGGAUCCAGCUUACUGUCUACCUCUUGGCUUCUCUCUCAACCCCAGACAGACGCAAAUCUCACCACCACUUCCAGCCCCGCCCCAUCCACGUUCAGCUCACUCUCCACCCAGCAAGGAGAUGAACUAAGCAGCACAGGGACAGUCAAUGGAGGACACAUACCAAAUAACGUAAAGAUCACUACACCUGAAUUUGCAUAACAAUCUGUGAGAGUUUAGAAAAAGUACUUAAAAUCUCUGAGGUUCAGUUUCUUCUUUUCUAAAGUAGAAAUUUUAAAAAUUUCUACUCUGAAGGUUAUUAAGAAAAGUAUAUAUAAUUCCGUAUUUUUUCAACUUUCACCACUAGCCACUGGGG
rnacentral:lncRNA from 1 species